GACGAACGCUGGCGGCGUGCUUAAUACAUGCAAGUCGAACGGAAAGGCCCUGCUCUUGCGGGGUUCUCGAGUGGCGAAGGGGUGAGUAACACGCGUGUAUCCUGUCCUUGUCUUUGGGAUAACACCAGGAAACUGCGGCUAUUACCGCAUAGGAUCUCUUGCAGCGUGGUGGGGGUUGGAAAGUUUCGGCGGUUCGGGAUGGACUCGCGGCUUACGAGCUUGAUGGUGGGGUAGUGGCUUUCGAAGGCUUUGACGGGUAGCCCGCAUGGGAGGGUGGCCGGCCACAUUGGGACUGAGGUACGGCGCAGACGCCUACGGGAGGCAGCGGGGGAAAGUAUGACGGAAUGAGGGGAAGUCUGAUGCGGCGGCCCCGGGUGCGGAAUGACGGGCUUCGGGUUAUAAACCGCUUUGGAAUGUACCGAAGAGUGAGUGACGGUAAUGGAUAAGGAAGCAACGGCUAACUACGUG
rnacentral:rRNA from 1 species